AGUGCGGAGUACGGUGGCCGUAAUUGGCCUGGGAAAACCUGUGUGUUCCGGAGUAAAUGCCUGGUCUGCUAAGCUGCUCUUGCCACUCGGCUUCUUGUUUCGGUUUUGCCCACGGAGAGAGAUGGGGAGCCAGAUUUCGAGUCUCCGCGGAGGCGGCUGGCCAUGAAAGGCGGGCAGUCGGCAGGGAGCAGCUCCAGCACCUGCCAUUGCACAGGAACAGCUUGGCGCGGGGGGGCUGUCCGCCUGGAUGUGGCUUCUGAAACUUGCUGGGAUCUUCCUAACCAACCUGCAGUCUUCAGAUUCUGUUGUCAUGGCUCUUCUGGAAUCCACUGUGCUCUCCUUCAUACACUUCUAGGUAUUGCCUUUAUGACAAAUACCUGAUGCUGACCAUGCAUGUAAUUUUGUCACUAGUCUUUAGAUCCUGAUUCCUCAUUCACAACUGUGUCUGUAACCUGGAGGAUUGAGUACCAAAGUGAAAAUCCAUUUAUACCUGCUGCCUUCCAGAUGUUUGGGUUCACAACUUUUGGAAAUCCUUAUCGUUGGCCUUACUGGCUGGGGCUGCUGGGAUCUGAUCUUCAUUAGACAUGUGGAUUUUUGUAGAAGUUCAUUGCUAUGGACAGUGCUAUCACCUUGUGGCAGUUCCUUUUGCAACUUCUUCAGGAAUCUCGGAAUAAGGAGAUUAUCUGCUGGACCUCAAAUGAUGGAGAAUUCAAACUUUUGCAAGCGGAAGAGGUGGCCCGCCUUUGGGGAAUCCGUAAAAACAAGCCCAGCAUGAACUAUGACAAACUCAGUCGUGCACUUAGAUAUUAUUAUGUAAAGAACAUCAUCAAAAAAGUUAAUGGUCAAAAGUUUGUUUACAAGUUUGUAUCUUACCCAGAGAUUUUGAAUCUGGAUCCAUUGGUUCUUGGCAAGAUUGAGGGUGAUGCUGAGGCACAAGCUGGCUUUGUUGAUGGUAGCAACUCUACAAAGGACAUUGAAACUUAUGGGAAAGAGAAGCAUCAAGCCAAUGCGAAAUCCUCUAAUCGCAAUGAUUAUAUCCACUCAGGCCUAUAUUCUUCAUUUACUUUGACCUCUCUUAAUUCCUCCUCUUGUACAAAACUGUUUAAGCCAAUUAAGAUGGAGAAUUCAGCUGAGAAGCUGACAGAGAAAAGAACUACUCAGGAUUCAACACCUUCAGUCAUAAAAUUUGUAACCAUGUCCUCCAAAAGGCCUUCUAUAUCUCCCCUUGCCUCAGCUACUCAACUGACCUCUACUAUCCCAGCUGCCUCUAUCAUAUCUUCAGGUUCAGAUGAAAGCCUCCAGGCCUUGGAAUCUCUAGCAGCAUCUAAAGGUGCAGCCACCGAAAGUUCAGCAUCUUUGCCAAGCUUGACCUCUAAUUUUAAUUCCACGUCUCCUACAACCUCCACAUCUCCUAGUCUCCAGGUUUCACCCAAAUCUCCUUUGCCACCACUAAGUUCUAAUUCUGAUCUGGUUAUAGACACAGAAGCUGAGUCUGUAGUUUGUCAGCAGUUGGAGCACUCUCAGAAUCAAGCCUUGGAGGUUAAAGAGAUGGGUUCCUCCAUGUUUGAAAAGAAUCUUCGUCAUAGCAGAACUAGAAAGCCCAAAGGACUGGAGAUUACUCCCACUCUGGUUAUUACUGGCAGUGACCCCAGUCCACUGGGAAUACUGAGUCCUUCUCUACCAACUGCUUCUCUUACACCAGCACUUUUUUCACAGACACCUAUUUUACUGACACCAAGCCCCUUGCUCUCCAGUAUCCAUUUUUGGAGUACUCUCAGUCCAGUUGCUCCUCUCAGUCCAGCAAGAUUACAAGGUGCUAAUUCUCUUUUUCAGGGCAAGAUUAUGCAACUUUAAGCCAAGGGCUAGACUUGGCCUUUAUGCUCUGGGAGAAGGCUGCACUUCAAAAAAGGUCAAGAAGGUGACAAAGGGUUUCCAUCAGUGCUGAAUACUCAUGGACCAUUUACUCUGUCGGGAAUAGAUGGGCCUUCCACUCCUGGCCCCUUCUCCCCAGAUUUACAGAAGAUUUAAUGUACAACCUUUUGAAAAUGGACAGCUUGGAUUAAAUAGAGGAAGAGAUUUUAUUAAAAAUGGUGCAAUCCAGGUUUUAAGAGACAAUUUUUAAUUCCAUAGAAUCAAUUUAAAGUGACUUGGUUUUUGCUAUUCUCAGUUUAGAUGCCUUUGCAAAAUUCUCUUUUAAGACAUAGGAGAAUUCAUAAGGAAGUGCCUUGACUGUGGAGAUUCUUCUCUAGAGUUUCUCUCCCCCCUGUUCCGUACUGCUUCUUUUGAAUGAAGAAGUCUAUUUUUAAUAAAGAAAACACUUUUGUAUUAUAAUUAAGUCUUAGACAGAACAGCCAACUGAUAUCAGAUGGGGUUUUUUUUUUUUACUGAUAACCAUUCAUUCCUUUGCUUUUUGUUUUUUUAUGUCAAAAUAUUAAUUCAUGGAAGCUGGCAUUCCAAGAAAUAUUUGGAAAGUGAAUAAAAAGAUUUAUUUUUUACAGUAAAUUCCAAUGACCUUAAAAAGCUUUAGCAUUGCAACUUACAGUAGUGUAGAAGAGAAUUGAGCAAAAUUUUAAGAAUGGUUGCUAAGGGUAAGAAAGCUCUUUUUUCUUUGGCAAAAAUGUCAGUUCAUCCCUCAUAUACUAUGGUAUUUUGUAUGUUUGAAUGAUUUAGUUAUGCGUAGAUCAUGGAUUGAGUUGCUUUGAUCUUCCCAAAAUAUUUAAAGGUGUUAAUAUUUGAUAAGCCAAGUCAAGAAAAACAAAAGCAAAUCCCUUAUUGUAUAAUUAACAAUUUAGCAGGUUGAGUUAAUUAUAGAACCUUGCAGUGGAUAUGUGGUGGCACUGGAUUAAUAAGCAUUUAUUUGACAUGCAGUGGGUUAUUGUUGUCUUGCUUUUUGUUAAUGUUGUACGUAGGUGUGACAUUUGGGAAGUGAACAUUUAUUGUUUAUUCUUUUCCCCUCUCAAAGAAGGAAAGAGACAUACCUUCUCUUGGCCUCCUACAUAUCUAGGUGUUUUAAAUAUAAGUGGAUUGAAGUUUUGAAUGUUCAAGCCUUUAAAAUUAGAAAUGUGACAUUAUUAGAAAGUACUCUGACUAGUUAAGUGUUUGAGACUGGAGGGAGAAAGAAAAAGUGGCACAUGCUGUUUGUAAUUUGAAAGGAGUAAAAUGUCUUUUUAGCCUGUACUUAAUCUUGUAGGAAGAUAUUCAUUGGAUAACAACUUCAGCAUGAUGGUAGUUGAGACUUCUUUGUAAACAUAUGGUAACAUAAUGAUGCCUUGCUAAAGUGGGAGACUUAUUUGGGGGACUAGAAAUUGAAAGUAAAAGAUCUAACAUCACUAAUAGUAGUUGUCUCUCAGUUGAAUUGCAAGAAGAUUCACUCUUUCUGCAUAUUAAUUAUAUUCAGGCCCUAUUAUAUUUAAAAAAAACACUUUAGAUCUUGUUGCUUCAAUAGCUUAUUAGAAAGUUGAAGUAGAUAUCAGUAAAGCGUUUUAAUCCUUUUUUCUGUAUCGAGGUGGGCUUGGUUUGAAAAGGGCUAAUAACCUGUGGGUUUUUAUUCAUAUACUUAUUCAGGCAUUCUGAACAGACCUCAUAAGUUGGUUAGUAUGCAAGAGUGCCUCAAGGUAUCCGACUAAAGUAGGAGACUUGCUGAUUUGUCUACAUUAAACUGUAAUUGGUUCCCUUGUUCAGGCAGGGAUUCGAAAGGCCCAAUCCUGUCUCUUGUUGAACCUAAUUGAACAUAUAUGGAUCUCUUUCAGUAUAGAUAUGUAAAAUAUUGAUGGCAGGUAACAAAAGAGAGCCAGUUUGGUUUAGAGGUUAGAAAUUUAGAAAGCAGGAGUGUCACCUUAUCCAUGAAAGCCAGCUGAGUGACCUUGGGCCAGUCACUGUCUUUUGUUCCAACUUACUUCAGAGGUUUGUUGCUGUGGGGACUGCAUGGACGGCAACACGCCAGGCUCCCUGUCCUCCACUAUCUCCUGGAUUCCACCCAAACUCACACCCAUUGCGUUGAUGACACUGUCACAUCCUCUGCCGAUCCCUUCUUCUUUUGCCUUCAAUCUUUCCCAAUAUCAGAGUCCUCUCUUCUCAUUUGGUGGCCAAAGCAUUUGAGGUUCAGCUUCAAAAGGCGGGAUACAAAUACACAUAAAUAAAAAUAAAUUAAAAACUAGAUGUCUUGCAUUCUUACGUUGCACAGCAGGCAGUAUCCAGUUCAGAGCAGCAUUUAAGGGCAGCCAUUCUAGACUGGCUGCUGACAGCAUAUGUAUUAGAUAGGAAAGGUUUUAAAAAUGAAAUUUUGCUAUAACUAGCAUUGGAGAGUAAUGGUGGUUAAAAUAUUUGCUGCUCAUCUCCUUUGCCACUCAGACGACAGAAAGGACUGCAGAUUCCAACUGAAUCUUAGGGAAAAAAAUAACUGAUGGACUUAGAGCAGCCAUUUGCAUGGGUGCUUUUACUAAAAUUCCUGCACUGUAGAGAAGAUUUGAUGGCCUAAAAUCAGUGUUCCUCAAACUUGGCAACUUUAAGUAUAUGGACAUGAAUUCCUAGAAUUUCUCAGCCAGUGCUGGUUGGGAAAUUCUUGGAGUUGAAGUUCACACAUUUGAAAGUUGCCAAGGUUGAGAAACAUUGGCCUGAAUAGCUUCUGCCUUCUUUAGGAGGUGGUGUGUGUCUCCCUUUUUCAGUAUUGUGCUUUCCUAUAUGGUACAAGAAGCAACUGCUAAUAAUACAUGUAUUUAGAUUUGCAAGUGAACCAGAACUUAGAUCAUCCUGAAAACAGUUUUGUUUAUCCUAGUUUCAUUAGUCUAAUAGGCUCAGAAAAAAUGCUCUGCUAUAAACCACUGGCCCUCUUAUACCAAGAUCCAGGUAUAGGUUUCCAUUUUUACUGAGUUAAUAGAACUGUUCUUUGGUUUUACGGAAAUUUAUGUGAGAGAAAUUUUGAAUUUCUCCUUGCUUCAUCAUUAAUAAAUAAUUUUCCUCUUAUUUUCUAUUUAAGAAUGCAUUUUGGGAGCCAGAACUGGAGGUGGCCACUAUAUUUGAUAUGGAAGAUAACAGUCUUUAGGCAUUACAUAGUGACAUUACCUCAAAAAGCUUCCCUGUAAUAAAAAAAAAUCCCCAUUGCUAACUUGUCUGUCAUUUAUUUAGACAGAUAUUUUAUACUGGUCUAUUUCCUGGCUGGUUGACCUACUAUUUUCUUUUUAAUUUUACAUGCUUACAUUUUGAAUAUAAUUUUUGUCCUAUUGCAGCUAUUCACCUCCUAGGUACUUCAUUACUAUUUUCUAAAAACCCAUUUAAUAAACUCUAACCAUCGAGGAUGGAGGAAAUGCAGAUUGAGAGAGAGAGACAGUAAAGGGUUAACCUCCAUUUUACACCCCAGAUACUACAGAUGAUUUUUAUUUCCAGAUACCAGAUCUAGAUUUUAUUUUGCUUUUCAUGUAUGUUUUCUUUAAUUGUGUUAGAUAAUAAACAUUUUCAUGCUUUCAGCUGCUAGAUCAUGUUAACAUACACAUUAGUCAGAUGGUAUCUUACUUUGAUACGAUUACUGAUUAAAAAAUAUUGGGUACUUUAUUGAGUUUUCUUAAUGCCAUAUUUUUAUUAUCUGAUGAUUAGAGAAAUCAACAAUCUAUAUUUAUCUUUAUAAUAUUAUGUUAUGUUAGCAUGAAUUGAUAUGCAUUGAUUUUUAUUUAAUCAGUGUUUAAACAAAUGUUGUGUCUCCUAAAUAAUUCAUUACAUAUAUAGAGAGAGUUACUCUUUUAUUGCAUUUUUAUAUGUGAACACAUACAGUAUAAACAAUCAUUCAUUCAAAAGAGCUCAAUAUUCUGUCCAGAUUAUACUGGUUAGAGCUGUAUAUGCCAUCAAAGCUAAAUUGGUUCAGCAUCAUUUAUUUUCAUUCUGUUGAAAAAGAUCUGAAUGGAUUGGCUCAAAAUAAGAUUUCUGUGUAAUGACAAACUUCCAAAGUUGUAUAGCUAGUGCAUUCUUCAGUGUGAGCAUUAAUCUGGAAUCCUUUUACAAAGCUUUCUAGAAAAAAAAAACCCUGUGGAUCACACCAAAAAUCUUACUAGUUCAUGAUCAGUCACAUGCUACUAGGAAGGCCAAAAAGACAGCUUGAAGGUAAUAUAAGCAUGAGGGGAGGAAUUGGGAGGCAGGUUCACUAAGUAUGCCGCUUUGAGCUCUUGAAAGAAAUGUGGAGUAUAAAUAGAUUUCAUUGUGGUUCUCAAUUAAUACUCAGUUAUCCUUGUCCCGAUUUCUUGUCCUAAUUUUACUAUAUUCCAUUUCAAAGCAUUUUAAAGUCUGAUAUAGAACAAAUUCUUUUAUAUUACUUAUACACUACAUUAAUAACUGGAAAAUUUAUUUUCAAACUGUCUUCAUAUCUGGUUUUAUUUUUUUUUCUUUAAAUAAAAUUUGCGUUUAGUAUGCUGUGAGUAAUUAGAAGGGAAAAAAUAACGAAGUUUUCCAAUAGAUCCUUUAAGCUGCAAUAUUUUGUCUUUGGUACUGCUUUAACUAUAGUUGAUAUUUGGUCUCUCUCUCUGUUCAGCUGCACAGAAUUUUAAAUACUAUAAAUAUUAGAAUAAAAAAUACUAAAGCUUAUAUGGGAAAACCUCUUCUUCUAAAUCCAUGUAACAAUGCAGUGUUUGUAUUUUUAAUGCAGUUACCAAAUGACAUGUACACAUAGUAGUCUUGAGAAUAUUUUUUUAUAUCGUCUAUAUUCACAGUUGACAUAUUCAUGCAAGUUGUAAGAAUAUACAAAAGAAAUCUAGGUGGUGGUGGAGUGGAAGAAAUUAGACUAAGCCUUGAUGUAUAUGUUGAUAUAACAAACAUUUUUUAGAAAUGAAAGCUGUCACAAUUAAAUAUUGUUAAAGAAAUGCUUUUAGUGCUUCACAAAUACUUCUGCCAGAAUGCUGAUUAAGCUAGUACAAUGGUGGCGAACCUAUGGCACGGGUGCCAGAGGCGGCACUCAGAGCCCUCUCUGUGGGCACGCGCGCCAUUGUCCCAGUCCUAGGCCUUCAGCUGGGUUUUAUAAAACCUUUUCGCUUUAGGC